rnacentral:tRNA from 1 species
GGAAGGGCAACGUCCCCGGUGGGGCGCCCGGACUUCAAAUCCGGUGGGGGGCGCUAGGCGUCUCCGGUGGGUUCGACCCCCACCUCUUCCGCCA